rnacentral:tRNA from 1 species
GAGGGUACAGCUCAGUGGUAGAGUGCGUGCUUAGCAUGCACAAGGUCCUGGGUUCCAUCCCCAGUGCCUCCC